rnacentral:rRNA from 1 species
UACGUAGGCAGCGAGCGUUGUUCGGAAUUACUGGGUUUAAAGGGUGUGUAGGCGGAUUUUUAAGUCAGAGGUGAAAUCUCCAGGCUCAACCUGGAAACUGCCCCUGAUACUAUUAGUCUUGAAUAUUGAUGAGGUGGGCGGAACGGGUCAUGUAGCGGUGAAAUGCUUAGAGAUGACCCGGAACACCAAUUGCGAAGGCAGCUCACUGGGCAAUUAUUGACGCUGAGGCACGAAAGCGUGGGGAUCAAACAGG